rnacentral:rRNA from 1 species
UGCGCAGGCGGGAAGGUAAGUUAGAGGUGAAAUCUUGCGGCUUAACCGUAAAAUUGCUUCUAAUACUGCUUUUCUUGAGUACGGAAGAGAAUGAUGGAAUUCCUGGUGUAGCGGUGAAAUGCGUAGAUAUCAGGAAGAACACCAGUGGCGAAGGCGGUCAUUUGGUCCGUUACUGACGCUCAGGCACUAAAGCGUGGGGAUCAAACAGGAUUAGAUACCCUGGUAGUCCACGCCCUAAACGAUGAAUACUUGAUGUUGGCUCCGCUAGGAGUCACGUAUCGCAGCUAACGCGAUAAGUAUUCCACCUGGGAAGUACGCUCGCAAGGGUGAA